GUGGGGAAUAUUGGACAAUGGGCGCAAGCCUGAUCCAGCCAUGCCGCGUGAGUGAUGAAGGCCUUAGGGUUGUAAAGCUCUUUCAGUGGGGACGAUAAUGACGGUACCCACAGAAGAAGCCCCGGCUAACUUCGUGCCAGCAGCCGCGGUAAUAAGAAGGGGGCUAGCGUUGUUCGGAUUUACUGGGCGUAAAGCGCACGUAGGCGGAUCGUUAAGUCGGGGGUGAAAUCCUGGAGCUCAACUCCAGAACUGCCUUCGAUACUGGCGAUCUUGAGUCCGGAAGAGGUGAGUGGAACUCCUAGUGUAGAGGUGGAAUUCGUAGAUAUUAGGAAGAACACCAGUGGCGAAGGCGGCUCACUGGUCCGGUACUGACGCUGAGGUGCGAAAGCGUGGGGAGCAAACAGGAUUAGAAACCCCGGUAGUCC
rnacentral:rRNA from 1 species